rnacentral:rRNA from 1 species
AACGGGUGAGUAACACGUAAGCAACCUGCCCUUAAGACGAGGAUAACAAUUGGAAACAGUUGCUAAGACUGGAUAGGAAAAGUAAAGGCAUCUUUACUUUUUUAAAAGAUCUUCUUUGAAGGUAUGCUUAAGGAGGGGCUUGCGACACAUUAGUUAGUUGGUAGGGUAAAGGCCUACCAAGACUAUGAUGUGUAGCUGGACUGAGAGGUUGAACAGCCACAUUGGGACUGAGACACGGCCCAAACUCCUACGGGAGGCAGCAGUAGGGAAUUUUCGGCAAUGGAGGAAACUCUGACCGAGCAACGCCGCGUGAACGAUGAAGUACCUCGGUAUGUAAAGUUCUUUUAUUAAGGAAGAAAAAAGAGUGGAAAAACUCCCUUGACGGUACUUAAUGAAUAAGCCCCGGCUAAUUAUGUGCCAGCAGCCGCGGUAAUACAUAAGGGGCGAGCGUUAUCCGGAAUUAUUGGGCGUAAAGGGUGCGUAGGCGGUUUAAUAAGUCUAUAGUUUAAUUUCAGUGCUUAACGCUGUUGUGCUAUAGAAACUGUUUUACUAGAGUGAGAUAGAGGCAAGCGGAAUUCCAUGUGUAGCGGUAAAAUGCGUAAAUAUAUGGAGGAACACCAGAGGCGUAGGCGGCUUGCUGGGUCUUUACUGACGCUGAGGCACGAAAGCGUGGGGAGCAAACAGGNNNNNNNNNNNNNNNNNNNNNNNNNNNNNNAUGAGUACUAAGUNUCGGGUAAAACUGGUACUGAAGUUAACACAUUAAGUACUCCGCCUGAGUAGUACGUACGCAAGUAUGAAACUUAAAGGAAUUGACGGGACUCCGCACAAGCGGUGGAUCAUGUUGUUUAAUUCGAAGAUACACGAAAAACCUUACCAGGUCUUGACAUUUUCUUGCGAAGUUAUAGAAAUAUAAUGGAGGUCAUCAGGAAAACAGGUGGUGCAUGGUUGUCGUCAGCUCGUGUCGUGAGAUGUUAGGUUAAGUCCUAAAACGAGCGCAACCCUUGUCGUUAGUUGCCAGCAUGUAAUGAUGGGGACUUUAACGAGACUGCCAAUGAAAAAUUGGAGGAAGGUGGGGAUUACGUCAAAUCAUCAUGCCCCUUAUGAUCUGGGCUACAAACGUGAUACAAUGGUUGAUACAAAGAGUAGCUGAAACGCGAGUUCUUAGCCAAUCUCAAAAAAUCAAUCUCAGUUCGGAUUGAAGUCUGCAACUCGACUUCAUGAAGUUGGAAUCGCUAGUAAUCGCGAAUCAGCAUGUCGCGGUGAAUACGUUCUCGGGGUUUGUACACACCGCCCGUCAAACCACGAAAGUUGGCAAUACCCCAAAGCGGUCACCUAACUUCGCAAGAAGAAGGAUCCGUCUAAGGUAGGGUCGAUAAAUCCGUCUAAGGUAGGGUCGAUAAUUGGGGUUAAGUCGUAACAAGGUAUCCCUACCGGAAGGUGGGGAUGGAU